AGAAGACGAGUGGUCGCGUGUGUCAAAACAGCAAAAUUAUAAUGACAUUAAUGGAUUAAAAAAUACAUGAUGGUUUCAUUGAUAGACAUGACUCAGCUAAAUGAUGACACUGAAGUCAAGUAACCAACAAAUGUAGUUCAAAUUAUUAACUAGUAUGAAGUCUUUUCAUACAAGGUUUUUUCAGGUAAUUAGAAAGGCAUGCUAAAGUAAAAUUAUCCUACAAAUAUAGUCGUAGGUAAUCAUGAUUCUUGCUUUAAAAUUAGUAGUGUAAGUGAAUUUAUCAACAUAAUCUUUGUUCUAAGAUGAUUUAUCACUAGCACAUUGGAAAAAAUGAGUCUUGCGAGGGG
rnacentral:misc_RNA from 1 species